rnacentral:rRNA from 1 species
GAGCUGAUAUACACUAUCGAGGGUCUCUGAGUGGACAACUGUGGUAAUUCUGGAGCUAAUACAUGCAAUAAUGCCCUGCCUCACGGCGGGGUGCACUUAUUAGAACAGACCAAUCCUUCAAAAGAGGACGUUUGUUGACUCUGAAUAUCCUAGUUAAUCGUCGGUUUACCGAUGAUGUCCUCGAUUAGUGUCCGCCCUAUCAACCUGAUGGUAGUUUAUUAGACUACCAAGGUUAUAACGGGUAACGGAGAAUAAGGGUUCGACUCCGGAGAGGGAGCCUUAGAAACGGCUACCACAUCCAAGGAAGGCAGCAGGCGUGAAACUUAUCCACUGCAUAUAGUGAGAUAGUGACUAAACAUAAAAAGACCAUUCUUUUUAGAGUGGUUUUUUCAAUGAAUAGAGUUUAAAACACUCUAUGAGGAUCUAAUGGAGGGCAAGUCUGGUGCCAGCAGCCGCGGUAAUUCCAGCUCCAUUAAUAUAGAUCGUCAUUGCUGCGGUUAAAAAGCUCGUAGUUGGAUCUUAGUUGCGUGUUCUUGUUCCUCGACGAGGUUAACUUGAACUGCGACUAUUUGCUAGUUUUCGGCCUUGACUUCGGUCAUUGUUGUGACUAGCGAGUUACUUUGAAUAAAUCAGAGUGCUCAAAACAGGCGUUCGCCUGAAUACUCCAUCAUAGAAUAAUAGAAGAAGACUUCGGUCUCUUUUAUUGGUUUAACGAUCGAAAUAAUGGUUAAGAGGGACAAUUCGGGGGCAUUCGUAUCCCUGCGCGAGAGGUGAAAUUCGUGGACCGCAGGGGGACGCCCAAAAGCGAAAGCAUUUGCCAAGAAUGUCU